UUGCGUGCUCCAGCGCUUGCGCGAGGGGAAAUCGUGACAUUAACAAGUUGCUAAAUAGGACUACAGACGUUGUCGGGGACAUUAAACGUCAUCACGGCGAACAGGAAAAGUCUUUGCAGAUAAACUGGUUCAGAGUCAAAGUGAGGAAUAUGAUUCCAAUCAGAAGCAGUAGCAGAAUCACCGACACAGUGGAAACUGGAAAUCCUGGAAGAGAAACAAACAGACAGUCACUUUAACCUACAUGCUGAUCAUUCAUAAGGGAUCAGAUUCAUCAAAGUCAUGUAGUUAGACUCUGUGGGUGAUGAGGAUCUGAGCAGAAUCACCUGCUGGAGGAGAAGCUGGAGUAGGCUCAGAAGAAGAUGAUGACGAUGAUGAUGAUGAUGAUGAUGAAGGUUGUGUUGGUAUCGAGGUUGAAACUGGGACAUGUGG